rnacentral:rRNA from 1 species
UAAUGGGUCAGCGACUUAUAUUCUGUAGCAAGGUUAACCGAAUAGGGGAGCCGAAGGGAAACCGAGUCUUAACUGGGCGUUAAGUUGCAGGGUAUAGACCCGAAACCCGGUGAUCUAGCCAUGGGCAGGUUGAAGGUUGGGUAACACUAACUGGAGGACCGAACCGACUAAUGUUGAAAAAUUAGCGGAUGACUUGUGGCUGGGGGUGAAAGGCCAAUCAAACCGGGAGAUAGCUGGUUCUCCCCGAAAGCUAUUUAGGUAGCGCCUCGUGAAUUCAUCUCCGGGGGUAGAGCACUGUUUCGGCAAGGGGGUCAUCCCGACUUACCAACCCGAUGCAAACUGCGAAUACCGGAGAAUGUUAUCACGGGAGACACACGGCGGGUGCUAACGUCCGUCGUGAAGAGGGAAACAACCCAGACCGCCAGCUAAGGUCCCAAAGUCAUGGUUAAGUGGGAAACGAUGUGGGAAGGCCCAGACAGCCAGGAUGUUGGCUUAGAAGCAGCCAUCAUUUAAAGAAAGCGUAAUAGCUCACUGGUCGAGUCGGCCUGCGCGGAAGAUGUAACGGGGCUAAACCAUGCACCGAAGCUGCGGCAGCGACACUAUGUGUUGUUGGGUAGGGGAGCGUUCUGUAAGCCUGUGAAGGU